rnacentral:rRNA from 1 species
UACGUAGGGGGCGAGCGUUGUCCGGAUUUAUUGGGCGUAAAGAGCUCGUAGGCGGUUUGGUAAGUCGGGUGUGAAAUCUCCACGCUCAACGUGGAGGGGCCAUUCGAAACUGCCGUGACUCGAGUCCGGUAGGGGAGUGCGGAAUUCCCGGUGUAGCGGUGAAAUGCGCAGAUAUCGGGAGGAACACCAGUGGCGAAGGCGGCACUCUGGGCCGGAACUGACGCUGAGGAGCGAAAGCGUGGGGAGCGAACAGG